rnacentral:rRNA from 1 species
CAUGUCUUUUUGGGAAUAAUUUAAAGUUUAAUUUGCCCACUGAUNAAAUUAUUAAAGGGCUGCAGUAUUUUGACUUAACAAAGGUAGCAUAAUCAUUAGUCUCUUAAUUGGUGACUUGUAUGAAGGAUUGGAUGAGAUAUAUACUGUCUCUAAUUAAUUUAUAAAAUUUAAUUUUUUAGUAAAAAAGCUAAAAUAAUUUUAAAAGACGAGAAGACCCUAUAGAGUUUAAUAGUUUAUUUAAUUAUUAUUAAUUUGUAAAUUUUAAAAUUAAAAUUAAAUGAAUUAUUUUAUUGGGGUGAUAGAAAAAUUAAAUUAACUUUUUUUUUAUAUUAAACAUUAAUUUAUGAUUAUAUGAUCCAUUAUUAUUGAUUAUAAGAAAAAAUUACCUUAGGGAUAACAGCGUAAUUUUUUUUUUUAGUUCAAAUAGGAAAAAAAGUUUGCGACCUCGAUGUUGGAUUAAGAUAAAAUUUAAAUGCAAAAGUUUAAAAUUUUGAUCUGUUCGAUCAUUAAAAUCUUA